AAAUGGUACCAGGUGUGUUAGGGUGCUGCCAUAAAGAUACCCCAAAAUCUGGAAGCAACUUUGGAAUUGGGUAGCAGGCAGAGGUUGGAACAGUUUGGAGGGCUCAGAAGAAGACA